GUAUUGCGUUAAGGAUAGCAAUGGCAUCCUUUUUUGAGGAACGAAAAAAAGAUAUAGUGGAUAGCCUGUUAAAAC
rnacentral:sRNA from 2 species